rnacentral:rRNA from 1 species
UACGUAGGACGCAAGCGUUAUUCGGAUUUACUGGGCGUAAAGCGCGCGCAGGCGGCCUCGCAAGUCUGAUGUGAAAGCACUCGGCUCAACCGAGUGAUGCCAUUGGAAACUACAAGGCUGGAGUCUGGCAGAGGUAGGCGGAAUUCCGGGUGGAGUGGUGAAAUGCGUAGAGAUCCGGAGGAACACCAGAGGCGAAGGCGGCCUACUGGGCCAGUACUGACGCUGAGCCGCGAAAGCCAGGGGAGCGAACGGG